rnacentral:rRNA from 1 species
UUUUAGCAAAACAUGUCUUUAUGGAGGUUUAUAAAGUUUAACCUGCCCAUUGGGAACUAAAAGGCCGCGGUAUUAUGACCGUGCAAAGGUAGCAUAAUCAUUAGUUUUUUAAUUGAAGGCUAGAAUGAAUGGUUGGACAAGAAAUAACCUGUCUUAAAUUAAUAUAUUGAAUUUAACUUUUAAGUGAAAAGGCUUAAAUAAUUUGAAGGGACGAUAAGACCCUAUAAAACUUUAUAUUUAUAAGAUAGUAGUUAAUUUUAUUUAAAAGUAUUAUUUUGGAGUAUUUGGUUGGGGUGACAAGGAUAAAAUAAAAAAUAACUGUCUUUUUUUUUUUACAGUAAUGUUUGGUUUAAUGAUCCUAAAAGGGAUUAAAGAUUAAGUUACUUUAGGGAUAACAGCGUAAUUUUCUUUAAGAGUUCUUAUCGACAAGAAAGUUUGCGACCUCGAUGUUGAAUUAAAAGUUCUUUAUAGAGUAGAGACUAUAACUAGAAGGUCUGUUCGACCUUAAA